CCUACGGGAGGCAGCAGUGAGGAAUAUUGGUCAAUGGACGAGAGUCUGAACCAGCCAAGUAGCGUGAAGGAUGACUGCCCUAUGGGUUGUAAACUUCUUUUAUAUGGGAAUAAAAUGUUCCACGUGUGGGAUUUUGUAUGUACCAUAUGAAUAAGGAUCGGCUAACUCCGUGCCAGCAGCCGCGGUAAUACGGAGGAUCCGAGCGUUAUCCGGAUUUAUUGGGUUUAAAGGGAGCGUAGGUGGAUUGUUAAGUCAGUUGUGAAAGUUUGCGGCUCAACCGUAAAAUUGCAGUUGAAACUGGCAGUCUUGAGUACAGUAGAGGUGGGCGGAAUUCGUGGUGUAGCGGUGAAAUGCUUAGAUAUCACGAAGAACUCCGAUUGCGAAGGCAGCUCACUGGACUGCAACUGACGCUGAGGAGCGAAAGCGUGGGUAGCAAACAGGAUUAGAUACCCCUGUAGUC
rnacentral:rRNA from 1 species